rnacentral:rRNA from 1 species
GAUGAACGCUGGCGGCGUGCCUAAUACAUGCAAGUCGAGCGAACAGACGAGGAGCUUGCUCCUCUGACGUUAGCGGCGGACGGGUGAGUAACACGUGGAUAACCUACCUAUAAGACUGGGAUAACUUCGGGAAACCGGAGCUAAUACCGGAUAAUAUAUUGAACCGCAUGGUUCAAUAGUGAAAGACGGUUUUGCUGUCACUUAUAGAUGGAUCCGCGCCGCAUUAGCUAGUUGGUAAGGUAACGGCUUACCAAGGCAACGAUGCGUAGCCGACCUGAGAGGGUGAUCGGCCACACUGGAACUGAGACACGGUCCAGACUCCUACGGGAGGCAGCAGUAGGGAAUCUUCCGCAAUGGGCGAAAGCCUGACGGAGCAACGCCGCGUGAGUGAUGAAGGUCUGCGGAUCGUAAAACUCUGUUAUUAGGGAAGAACAAAUGUGUAAGUAACGAUGCACGUCUUGACGGUACCUAAUCAGAAAACCACGGCUAACUACGU